AGUGAACGCUGGCGGUAGGCCUAACACAUGCAAGUCGAACGGCAGCACAGGAGAGCUUGCUCUCUGGGUGGCGAGUGGCGGACGGGUGAGGAAUACAUCGGAAUCUACUUUUUCGUGGGGGAUAACGUAGGGAAACUUACGCUAAUACCGCAGACGACCUACGGGUGAAAGCAGGGGAUCUUCGGACCUUGCGCGAUUGAAUGAGCCGAUGUCGGAUUAGCUAGUUGGCGGGGUAAAGGCCCACCAAGGCGACGAUCCGUAGCUGGUCUGAGAGGAUGAUCGGCCACACUGGAACUGAGACACGGUCCAGACUCCUACGGGAGGCAGCAGUGGGGAAUAUUGGACAAUGGGCGCAAGCCUGAUCCAGCCAUACCGCGUGGGUGAAGAUGGCCUUCGGGUUGUAAAGCCCUUUUGUUGGGAAAGAAAUCCAGCUGGUUAAUACCCGGUUGGGAUGACGGUACCCAAAGAAUAAGCACCGGCUAACUUCGUGCCAGCCGCCGCAGUAA
rnacentral:rRNA from 1 species